rnacentral:lncRNA from 1 species
AUUUUUCCUCAUAGAUCCUUCAGAAUUGUCUUGAUAACAACAGUGAAGUCUUUUUCAGAAUGUCAGAUUGGGAAGGGACCUGAUGGAUCAUCAGAUCUAAUUGUGCCAACUGACAGGCAAGGAAACUGAGGCACGAGUACAAGGAUUUCUUCAUCGGACCAGUAACAGAAAUCAAUUGAGCGUAUUUCUUUCUGCAAAAUGAAUCUUUCCAUGGGUCAAGGGGAGAAGCAGAUGAGGAAAGAGGACUUUGUAAGAAGUUUCACCUGUUUUAAACUCCAGCUGAUCUUACAGGUUUGUUGAAUAAAUGGAUUGAUGGAGAAGCAAUUGCUUCUGGAUCUGAGACACAGAUGGGCAUUCCAGUUGGAGGUGCUAGUUCAGACAAGACUACAUUUUAAGGUUUAGAAAGAUCAGAAGACAAAGAUGGACUUAAUAAGGUCUGUUUGAGUAAAGAACUGAUAUCCUCCAAAGAAAGAAAAUCCUAAAAUUCAGUCCUAGAAGUAUCUGUGACACGUAAAUCUCUGAAGCUAAGUAUGGGAUAAAGUGGGACUUUUGAAAGACUCAUCAAUUUAAAAAAGAAAGGGGAAAAAUCAUUCUACAACUUGACACCUAAGUUCUCUUGCUGCCAAGUACAUCCUGUCAGUGCUGGCGCUGAAGUGAGGGCAUAUUUAAAGAGUGCCAAUGGGAGAAGAGCAUGCCAAACUAAUGUUGGAAAUUGCUUAAAUUAAAUGUUCUUGCCAAUUGGGUUUUUCAUCACAAUAAGGGGAAGGGAAGCUUAAUGCAGAAAACCAUCUCUAGUAGGUACAUAUUUAUAAAUACAGGAUUGUUAUUAUACUAAUGAGAGUCAUGUGAGAUGCAGGAUGAAAAUUACUUGCAGGCAAUUAAAACAGAUAAUCCUUGCUUUUUUUUGGUUCCUUUCAAAUGCUGACCUUUAGCCUUCUCCUUGCAAAUAAAUACUUUUGAGGAUAAUACUCA